UAUAAAUAGGAAAGACGGAAUGCAAAAUCUGCAAGAAUGUUUGAAUGAUAUUUUUGAUGAACCGGAGUUAGAUGCCUGUCCAAAAUGUCAGAAAAUUACAAAAAAAUUAAUCUACGAUAUUGGAGACAUUCUGUUUCUCGAAACCGAAUUUAUUUUCACUAGCUCAGAAUUACACCACACUAUCAACAGUUCAUGCCCUGAAACCAUUUUGAUACGUCGUAGUAGAUAUAAAUUAAUAGGUGUCGUAGAAAUCGAAGAAAUCAACAAAGAUUUGAACCAUUAUAGGGCCUACUGCCUGGUAAACAAUAGAUGGAUCAGAAAAGAUGAUUUAUCUACAUCAGCGAAAUACAUUGUUCAUCUACCUGACAACAUCAAACUAUCAAUGGUUGUGUACGCAAAGGUGAACGCGUAGGUGUACGAAAAAUCAAUUGAAAAAGUAUCAAGUAGUGGCUGAUGAGUUGAUCCAUUCAAUUUCCAUUUGCAGCAACUGGGGAGAAUAACUACGAUGCAGAAACUCUUAGAUUCUGAAAAUUGAGACACA